AGCUUUGCGCAGUGGCAGUAUCGUAGCCAAUGAGGUUUAUCCGAGGCGCGAUUAUUGCUAAUUGAAACAUAUUGAUGAAUUCUUUAUGAGUAUAGAAAGAAAUAAUUACUAGGAGCCAAAACUA
rnacentral:snRNA from 1 species